UGUUCUUGCAUGUAAUUGGUCAGUUGUCAGGAGGCUUUUAAUUUUUAUCACGUGACCCAAUUAUGAAAUUCACCUGAUAAUCACUGAGGAGGACUGAGAUGUGCUGGAAAACCUCUGAAACAAGUAAGUUGGUCCUUGUCUGGAGUUGUGAUCUGUUGCAGGACCUGAUUAUUACUAACUUAUAUUACAGUUUAUUUCAUUCACAACUUUGUUAUGUGAAAUAAGUCUCUGACAUCACAGGAAGACAAAAGAGAUAUACCUACCUACCCCGCCCCACCAUGCCUGCUCUCGCCCGCCCCGUCCCCCCUGCCUCCGCGACGGGAAGCGGAGAGAGCAAUUACAUCAGCGUCGGUCUGGCGGCCUGGAGAUGAAGAGCUGUGUGGCUGUGGGCAAACACCUGGCCGCGGUUAGAGGGAGCAGGAGGAGUGCGAUGCAGGAGGAGGAGGAG